UUUGAUCCUGGCUCAGAUUGAACGCUGGCGGCAGGCCUAACACAUGCUAGUCGAACGGUAACAGGAAGAAGCUUGCUUCUUUGCUGACGAGUGGCGGACGGGUGAGUAAUGUCUGGGAAACUGCCUGAUGGAGGGGGAUAACUACUGGAAACGGUAGCUAAUACCGCAUAACGUCGCAAGACCAAAGAGGGGGACCUUCGGGCCUCUUGCCAUCGGAUGUGCCCAGAUGGGAUUAGCUUGUUGGUGGGGUAACGGCUCACCAAGGCGACGAUCCCUAGCUGGUCUGAGAGGAUGACCAGCCACACUGGAACUGAGACGCGGUCCAGACUCCUACGGGAGGCAGCAGUGGGGAAUAUUGCACAAUGGGCGCAAGCCUGAUGCAGCCAUGCCGCGUGUAUGAAGAAGGCCUUCGGGUUGUAAAGUACUUUCAGCGGGGAGGAAGGGAGUAAAGUUAAUACCUUUGCUCAUUGACGUUACCCGCAGAAGAAGCACCGGCUAACUCCGUGCCAGCAGCCGCGGUAAUACGGAGGGUGCAAGCGUUAAUCGGAAUUACUGGGCGUAAAGCGCACGCAGGCGGUUUGUUAAGUCAGAUGUGAAAUCCCCGGGCUCAACCUGGGAACUGCAUCUGAUACUGGCAAGCUUGAGUCUCGUAGAGGGGGGUAGAAUUCCAGGUGUAGCGGUGAAAUGCGUAGAGAUCUAAAGGAAUACCGGUGGCGUGGGCGGCCCCCUGGAAGAAGAUUGACGUUCAGGUGGGAAAGCGUGGGGGAGCAAACAGGAUUAGAUACCCUGGUAGUCCACGCCGUAAACGAUGUCGACUUGGAGGUUGUGCCCUUGAGGCGUGGCUUCGCGGAGCUAACGCGUUAAGUCGACCGCCCUGGGGAGUACGGCCGCAAGGUUAAAACUCAAAUGAAUUGACGGGGGCCCGCACAAGCGGUGGAGCAUGUGGUUUAAUUGGAUGCAACGCGAAGAACCUUACCUGGUCUUGACAUCCACGGAAGUUUUCAGAGAUGAGAAUGUGCCUUCGGGAACCGUGAGACAGGUGCUGCAUGGCUGUGGUCAGCUCGUGUUGUGAAAUGUUGGGUUAAGUCCCGCAACGAGCGCAACCCUUUUCUUUUGUUGCCAGGGGUCCGGCCGGGAACUCAAAGGAGACUGCCAGUGAUAAACUGGAGGAAGGUGGGGAUGACGUCAAGUCAUCAUGGCCCUUACGACCAGGGCUACACACGUGCUACAAUGGCGCAUACAAAGAGAAGCGACCUCGCGAGAGCAAGCGGACCUCAUAAAGUGCGUCGUAGUCCGGAUUGGAGUCUGCAACUCGACUCCAUGAAGUCGGAAUCGCUAGUAAUCGUGGAUCAGAAUGCCACGGUGAAUACGUUCCCGGGCCUUGUACACACCGCCCGUCACACCAUGGGAGUGGGUUGCAAAAGAAGUAGGUAGCUUAACCUUCGGGAGGGCGCUUACCACUUUGUGAUUCAU
rnacentral:rRNA from 1 species